ensembl:lncRNA
CGAGCAGAGACGUCCAAGUGAAGCUGGGUUUUCAUCACUUUGCAAAGUGCUUCUCUCUCCUCGUAUACAGAUCCAUCAACCAUUUUCAAAGUAAAGGCAGACAAGCAUGAGGCAAGUCCCAGAAGGUAUGAGGACAUAGACAAGAGCAGGAAGCCCUCACAAAGAUGUCUUCACAAGGCUGCAAGUGGCCAGCUGAGCAGACCACCAAACUCAUCAUGAUGGGUGUAAGAACUGGGGGCUCAAGCAUGCAGGCAACGGAUUGUAACAUUGAUGUGGGAGUCACUUGUGGACAGGUGUGUAUCAUUGUUGAGAGGAAGUAUGCAUGCAGACUGAAAGGCAGUCUGUAAUUCACCAUUUUUCUACAACUUUGGGCAAUUUCUUUUCCCCCAUAACACUUGUUCCUUUCUUUGGGAAAAUAUCCAGGAAGAUUUAUGAUCUCUGAGGUUGAUUUUAGUGUACCACUUAGCAGCUGAUGGUAUCAGUGGGUAGUCUGUACACAUACAUACAUACACAUACACACACACACACACACAUACACACACACACACACACACACACACAGACACAUACCCUGUUUCAAAGAAUAGCAAUAACAAGCUCUCACCACAUGGCCCAGGUUGGCCCUGUACUCAUAAUCCUACUUCACUGUCUUCACCAUCUUGAGUGCUGGGAUUAUAGGUGACCAUUUGAAGCUUUGGUUAUCAAUAUGAACUCAUGUUUGCUUUACAUUGACCAUAGUUUAGCUCUGAAGUGUCUUACAAAGGUUUGCAUUAAAGGCUCAGUUCCCAGCCUGGUGGUUUUGGUACAAGGUAGAGCCUUUCAGAGAUGAGGCCUGGUGGGAGUGUUUCACAUCAAUGUGAGCACGUACUUGAAGGGGACUCUGGGUAUCCAGCACCCCACCCUCUCUUUCUUUUUGUCUGUCUCAGAGGAUCUUGCUAUGUGGCUCAGGCUGGCCUUAGAACUCUCGUUCUUCCUGACUCAGUUUCCUCAGUGCUGCAAGCACCAUGCUCAGCUUUUCUCUUCCUCCUGUUAGCUUACAGGCUGGGACUUCUGAUGGGGAAUGUACUUCUGUAUAUGUUCAUUUUAUUGAUUGUUGAAUAAAGUACUGUUUGGCCAAUGAGGCAGAAAGUUAGACGGGACUAGGAGUCAAGGAGAAUUCUAGGAAAUGUAGUAAAGUGGUGAUCCAGACAGGAAGUGACAUAGCAGAGAGACUCAUAUUUAAGUAAGGACAAGCAGGAAGUGGUCCCUUUCCCCUUUGCUCUUCCUCCUGCUCUCUGCUCUGAGACACCAUGUGAUCCCGGGGAUGAGGACGCCAGCGGAAGGUGUCCGAUAAGAUAAGUCUUAUAGAUUUAUGACAAUUAAGACUGAGCUAGCAGAUGAGAAAUCCUAGUCAUUGGCCAAGCAGCAUUUGUGCCUAAUAUAAUAUAAAUGUAUUAUUUUGGCCAUCCACAUGGUGGGCAGAACUCAAGUGGUUGGCGGAAAGAUUUAUCAAAACAGACUUCUGCCACAUGCUCCUGCCGUGAUGGCCUGCUUCCCCAUAGGCUAAGGAGCAAUAGGGCUAAGCUGUCAUGGACUAGGACAUCCAAAACUAUAAACCAAAACAAACCUCCUCUCUUUGUAAGUUGAUCAUCUUGGUCUUUGUUACAGCGAAGGGAUGCUGACUAACACAGUGUUUGAACCAAGUGCUGCUUUGAGGCAGAAUGCAAAUUCCUGCAAGCAGUGAGCCACUUAACAUGACAUGGGUACUUAACAACCAUAGAAAGGCAGGGCUAGAAUGCUGGUUUUAAUCAACGAGAAUCUGUGAGAUCUUGGAGUGAUUUCUUCGCUUGAUAAUUAUUCAGUGCAUGUAUUUAUAUCAAAUGAGUUCAACUGAUUUCUUUUAAUAAGAUAAGUGAUUAAAAAACAACCUUGGACAAGCUUUGGUGCAGAGGGUAGGAGUGCAAGACUGACUACCAGAGUUCAAUCCCCAGAAGCUCCGAUGGAAGGAGAGAUCUGAGCCUUCAGCGUGUCUUCUGAUCUACAGAUGUGCCACAGCGCACCCUUCCCACUCCAAUAUCACUCACACACACACAUACCCUCCACACCAUCAGGAGCAGCAGCAACAAUGAAAAACAGAACAGAAAGUGCCCCACAAAUUCAGCCAGAUGUGGUAAUGUACAUUUUAUAAUUGAAAUACCUAGCUCUCGGAAGACUGAUACUGGAGUAUUAAUGCAAAUUAAACGCCAGCCUGGUCUACCUAUCAAGUUCCAGGCCAUCUUGGGCUACAGAGUGAGGCCAUGUCCCAAAGCUUCAUAAAACUGGGGCUGGAGAAAUAGAUUAGCAGUUAAGAACAUUUAACUGCUUAGACAGAGGCCCUGGGUUCAGUUCACAGC